CAACUCGCCUACAUGAAGCCGGAAUUGCUAGUAAUGGCAGGUCAGCAUACUGCCGUGAAUACGUUCCCGGGCCUUGUACACACCGCCCGUCACACCAUGAGAGUUGGGGAUACCCGAAGCCUGUGAGCUAACUAUUUAUAGGAGCAGCAGUCGAAGGUAGAAUCAAUGAUUGGGGUGAAGUCGUAACAAGGUACC
rnacentral:rRNA from 1 species